CCUUUGACGUUAGCGGCGGACGGGUGAGUAACACGUGGGUAACCUACCUAUAAGACUGGGAUAACUUAGGGAAACCGGAGCUAAUACCGGAUAAUAUUUCGAACCGCAUGGUUCGAUAGUGAAAGGUGGUUUUGCUAUCACUUAUAGAUGGACCCGCGCCGUAUUAGCUAGUUGGUAAGGUAACGGCUUACCAAGGCGACGAUACGUAGCCGACCUGAGAGGGUGAUCGGCCACACUGGAACUGAGACACGGUCCAGACUCCUACGGGAGGCAGCAGAC
rnacentral:rRNA from 1 species